GGGAGGCAAUGCACAUGAGUGGCAAUUGCCACUCUGUGCUGACAAUGUUUAUCUAUGAGAAGCCUCACAUACACAUUGAGUGAGUGCUCAGUCUGUGAGAAAGAUCACCAUCCUAGCUUAAAGGGAAACUAUAGUGCCAGGAAAAGAAACUUGUUUUCCUGGCACUAUAGCUUCCUCUCUGUCAAGGACCCCUCCGACAGUGC